rnacentral:rRNA from 1 species
AACGUAGGACGCAAGCGUUAUCCGGAGUUACUGGGCGUAAAGCGCGGGCAGGCGGCUCUGUAAGUCUGAUGUGAAAGCGCCCGGCUCAACCGGGCGAGGCCAUUGGAAACUACAGAGCUGGAGGGCAGUAGAGGCAGGCGGAAUUCCGGGUGGAGUGGUGAAAUGCGUAGAGAUCCGGAGGAACACCAGAGGCGAAGGCGGCCUGCUGGGCUGCACCUGACGCUGAGCCGCGAAAGCCAGGGGAGCGAACGGG